AUGCAGAAGCCUUGUUUUGGGCAUGGCAUUGUGGGCUGCAGCCUUUUGGUAGGGUUUGCUGUGGCUGGGCAUCAAGCCGUCAACCGGGAGAUGGAAGUGCAGGAGCUGGAGAGAUCGAGCACGCCAUCACACAAACAGGCGGCUGGUCAAUGGACCACGGCGUGCGGCCGAUGCUGUGCCCCUUCCUCCAGCUGCCCAGCUCAAGAGGCACCGGCGCAUGACAGAGCCUAUGCCAGCCCCACAACACAGGAGACGGCCGACACUGCGCCGGUCUAUCAACACCGCGACCAAGCAGCUUUAGCGCAGUACCUUUUUUUCCUUUGUUAG
rnacentral:rRNA from 1 species